CUUGCAUCAUUGUAAAAAUGAUGCAGGAUCGACUAUGUCGAAUAAAAUUCUAGGUAGAAUUAUGAUAAUGACAUUGUCUGCCUAUGUGUCUUGACCAAAUUACGUGCCAGCAGUCGCGGUAAUACGUAGAAGACUAGUGUUAUUCAUGUUUAAUCGGUUUAAAGGGUACCUAGACGGUAAAUCAAGCCUAAAAUUAAAUGAAGGGACUAAUUUACUAGAGUUACUUAUGAGGGGGUAUUAAAGUACUGCUGGUGUAGAGAUGAAAUUCUGUCAUACCUCUUUUCAAUAGAAAAACAAUGGCACAGGUAUAGGCGAAAGCAUCCCCUUAUGUGAUAACUGACGUUGAGGGACGAAGGCUUUGUGUAGCGAACAGGAUUAGAUACCCCAGUAGUCAAAGCAGAAAAUGAUGAAUGUCAUAGAUUAGAUAAAUAAGUUUAUUCUAUAAAUGAAAGUGUAAGCAUUCCACCUCAAGAGUAAUUUGGCAACAUUGGAACUGAAAUCAUUAGACCGUUUCUGAAACCAGUAGUGAAGUAUGUUGUUUAAUUUGAUGAUCCGCAAAAAACCUUACCACAAUUUGAAUAUUUAUAUUUUUUUAUUGUUUUCUUUUUAAUUUUCUUCUGAUUUGAUUUUUCUAAAGAAAAAAAGAAAAAGAGGCGAUAUGAUAUAUUUACAAGCGUUGCACGGCUGUCUUCAGUUAAUGUCGCGAGACUUUGGUUAGUUCCAUUAAAUUAACGUAAACCCUUACUUUAUUUUUAUAUAGAGUAGUUCCCCGCUAUAUUGGAUAUGAU
rnacentral:rRNA from 1 species